GCUCGCCGCCUCGGUGCCGCGGGCGGGUCCAGCCAUGGCCGAGGGCGUGCCGGCCUCCGCAUCGGGCGGCGCGGGCUGCCGGGGCGUGGCCGGGGCCUGCACCGCGGCAUCAUCUAGUGGUUGGUUGACACCUUCUGCAUCUGCGAACGGUACAGUGUGCCUCGCUGCCUCAUGUAUGAGACUUAAGUGGAGUCCUGCGGGCAGAAUGCUCAGAACCAAGUCAACCCAGCCACGUUUGGGAAGCUCGUGCGCUUGGUUUUCCCUGAUCUUGGCACCCGGAGGUGGGGCACAAGAGGAGGCGCCAGGUAUCAUUAACGACGGGAUCCGUAUCAAGAAAAGUUCUUUCUUCUAUGCCCAGUACUGCUGCCUUCUGGGUGAAAAAAGAUAUCACAGAUGGCCUUUCUCGCUGACGAAUACUGCAACUAUUGUCAAGACAUUUUACAGAGCGUGAGGAACCAAGAACUCGAGAGAGAGAGUAGGUUUGAGCUGCAAAAUACCAGCGUUUCUGACUUGUUCUUAACCUUUCUACUGGAAAAGACCCCUGGAGGGAUGUCUGGUGGGAAUUCAUUGCCUGAAGUGCUUAGAAUGCAGCUGUUUUAUAGUCAGUGAGCUCUUGAAGGUGUAUUUUUAUUCAGUUUAAUCAUCUGGAAAGGUUGCAAGGUGCUCAUACGGAUCACUUUACACUUUAAAUAAAAAUGCGGCUAUUUUUAGAUCCUAAUUCCAGCUGAUUUGGAGCACAGUAUUGGUAAUGCGACUUACCCUGGAAUUCUCAGGGAUGCUUCAGAGCCGUCAUGGGUCCACGCUGACUGAACAAGAAGGGUGCUCUGACACGGGUAUCGUGAUGAGUGGAUUUUAUUCUAGAAUUGACUGUGGAAGACACGAGCAAAUCUCUUAACCAUUGUGAAUUCUGGCUUUUACUAUAUAAAAUGAAAAUCCAGGGAAGCAAGUGCACUCUUAAAUGAAAAGUUUUCUGAGGCCUCCGUGUUCUAAGCACUUCAGCUUUGGGAGAUAAUAUUCACUCAGCGUGAACGCAUUUUGUACUUUGUGUAAAGCAGCGGAGGGAGGGAGGGACCACGCUGUCUUCAGAGUGGCCCCUGGCCUGUUACUGCUAUGUUAUCAACAUCCAUGCACGUUGGAUAGCUAAUCCAUUCCUUCUUGGAACUUCCCUGGUGGUCCGGUGGUUAAGACUCCACCCUUCCAAUGCAGGGGGCGUGGGUUUGAUCCCUGGUCAGGGAACUAAGAUCCCACAUGCUGUAUGGCAUGGCCAAAAAAUUUUUUAAAAAAAGAAAUCUAUUCCUUCUUGCCUUCAUUGCUUCAUCAAGUACUAACUGAAUUCUUACCCUGUGACCAGCACCGUUUCUGGAACUAGGAAGGUAUUCCCCAGGAGGCUGGAGAAGCUUAUAGUCUGGUACUGAAAGGAACGAUGUACGCCAAUGAAUGUGAUACCGUAUGGAAAGUUCUAGAACACAGUGUGAUGGACUGUUCUGGGUGCCCAAGGGAAGAGGAACAGAGACAGCUGGAGCGGGCUCCCCGGGGGAGGCCACGUUGCUGGCAACUCUCUUAGAAAAGCAGAAGUUCAACAGACUCGAAAUGGGGUAGAAAAGGGAUUCCAGGCGGAAUCAGUGGUGCGGACAAAGGCAGCAGGAUGGUCACCGGCAUCACAGGACAAGAAGGUCGCUGUGGCCGGAUUUAUCUCGAAAGGAGAGAAGCCAGAGGGGAGGUGGGAAUCGGCCGGUGCCAGGAAGGGCCUCUGGAAGACCCUGACUUACUGAGGAGACAGGUUGGCAGUGACAUCCAAGGGCCAUAUUGGAGCAAAGGGUGCGGAGGAGGUUUUGUCGCAGUCAAGAUCUGCCACGCUUGCACCCUGUGCGCUGUCUCCCCCAUGGGUCCGCAGAACAGGCCACGUCUAAUCUUCACCCACGCCUGGCAUCCCCAGCACGCCGGGCUGUGUUGAUCCCUUU